AUAUGAACGCAAAUGAAUGACGUGAGAAACUCAAAGGAAAAAAUAUGUUACUCUAGUCUACCAUGCUCAUCGUUUCUCCAUCUUUAUCUUUCUGUAUGCGCGCUGUUUGUCGUGUGUGUCGUCCUUCUUUUCGCGCGCGCUUUCUUAUUAUAUAAAUAAUAGUUAGUCA
rnacentral:ribozyme from 14 species